GUUUCACUAUGUUGGCCAGGCUGGUCUCAAACCCCUGACCUCCUGAACCACCCACCUUGGUCUCCCAAAGUUCUAGGAUUACAGGCACGAGCCACUGUGCCCAGCCAGAAGUACUCUUGUAUAGGUUUCUAAAAACUUUAAGAUCCAAAGACAAUAUAAUUUUUUUUCUUUUUUUAUCAACAAUAUUAAAAAAAUUUUAUAAUGAUGAAACUGACAAAUUUGAGAAACUUCCGAACAAUAUCAAGCAGAACAAAAAUUACAGAGAUUAACUGAUGAAGAUAAAAAUCAUAUGACUUUUUUGAAAUGGUUGAUUCUUUACUUAAAUGUUUUAUUUUCCAAAUUUAAGGAAACUUUUUCUUGUAAGCUAUCUGUAGCUUAUACAGCAAUUUGGUAAAAUCUGUUUUUGUGAAUAAAGGUGGAAACAUUUACUUUUUCUAUUUGAUCCCUCUGAAAUUUGUAAACUAUGUGUGGGUAUUCUUGUGGCAAUAUGGUUAUUUGUGUGAGUUUAAUACAAUUUUGGUAUCUCUUUAUAAAAUCAUACAUUUGGAAGUAUUUGUUAUAAUACAAAGCCUUGACUGGGAUAUCUUUUUUGAGAACUGGCAUAGAAUGCCCAGCUUUAAGGGUUCCAAGCCUUACUGUGAGUGAGUAAAAACUGUACUUCUUGACAGUCCUGGAAACUUCAAGAUUGAAGGUAAAAUCUGAAAUCUGCCUAGGUUUGGCUUCCAAGCCUCAAAUGAUUUUUCCAUCUGAGAUUCUUAUGUGAUCAACAUACAGAGAAAAGUGUUAUGUUUCUAAAGAAAAGCUAGAAUACACCUGUUAUGAGACCUCAGCCCUGGGCAUUGUUUUACAGUUCUUAUUUUCUACUCUAAGCUGACUAGAUCUUGAAUUCUUCUAGAUUUCUCCAAUCCUACUUUUUUUGUGUUAGAAUAGGCAAGUAGUCAUGAGCAGGUAAGCAGUUCCCUGAAAAAAGAAUUCUUAGAAAUGCAGCCCUUUUGUAGAAUCCUUGGAGAUGCUGACAGUCAGCAAAAAGAGAACCAUGGCCACAGUGGCUACACCUGUCCUUGUGGCUGGGCUCCUGUGACCUACAAGGGACUUAUUCAGUUCUAACUGGGGAUAAAUGAGGUAGGGGCUUUUCUCAAUUAGCAAGCAUGAUGUAUACUCCUCUAAUAAGUUGCCCAGGAAUAGCCUUUUGCUCAUUAUAAUACUCCAGUCUCCUCCCAGGAUCACUUCCAUAGUAUUACUAAAAAUGGGAACUGCCCUGCACUGAAGCUGUAUAAGCUGAAGCCAGCUGAAUUCUAAGGGAUAAGUCUCAUGCCUGAUGUAUGGGUCACACAGAACGUUCACCAAACUGCCUGGUGCCAUAACCAGAAACAUUCAAACUACAAACUAGGAUGAUAAGUUGAUAGCUUCACGCUGUAGAUUGCUUUUUUCCAAGACAUUGGAACGAGACUCCAUAUCGUAAUGAGACUCUUUCCCCUGUUAAUGCCUACUUUUUACACUUGGCAGGAUAAUGGUGUAAUUGAAAUUUCACAUUCAGUAGCUUCUGCUGGUAACUUGACAGAACCUGAUCUAUGAGAUGCUUUAGUCUACCUAGUGGCUAUCUAUAGCUUUACAGCAAGUUGGUAAAGUAUGCUUUUGUGAGCAAAGUUAAAACACUGACCUUUCACUCAACCUGAUCCCUCCAGAGGCAGAAACUGUGAGUAUUCUUAGUUCAUGGAAAUAUGCUAUUUGCACAAGUUUAACGAGAAUCUGUUUUAUUUUAUAACAGGACAUAAUUGAAAACACUGGUUAUUUUACCAAGGCUUUGACUGGAAUGUCAUAUUAUCACAGAUGACCAGACUGUCAGAAAUUGAAGUUAAAUUUAUGGAGCCACUAAAAAUCUCCUGGGAAAAAACUGGACUGAUGCCUUAAAUGUAUGAUUCACAUGGUUGUCUUAGAGUUGGAUAAAGAAUGUCACUUCCUGGCAGGCCCAGGAAUCUGAGGACAUUUUGGGGAUUCUCAAGAAGAGAGAUUUUCACCCAAUUCAUAAAGGUAUUACAAAGUCUGAGAGCAAGUCAAAUUCUUGGCUUGGCUUUCCAGCUUUGAGAGACUUUCAGAAGUCUAAUCUGAAAUUCCUGAUAAGUUACAGCAAAGCAAGCUUAAAAAGACUCUAUACAAACAAUCAUCAUUCUUGCAAGAUGGAGGAAAAUAAUUAGGCCAAAGAUGAGACAUUUUGCAAAUAAAUUUGUCUUACAAAUAAUUUAUCUAUGGUAAAAAUGGGGAAAUCAGAGAAAGAAAAAUUGUUUCAGGAAAAAAAAAGAAACCAUAAGGCAUUUGUUACUAAAUUCCAGCCUGGUUCAUUUGCUUUUGCUUUUGAGGGUUUUUUUUUUUUUCCUUUUAAAUUAUCUGGACUUAAUCCUGAAUAUUCAGUUUCCUCCAAUAUUAGGCUAUGACUCUCCAAACAAACAUUUUCAAUUUUUCUCCCACUCUCUGACUUGGGAAUCACUAAAAUUAAAAUGGUCUUUUUCCUAAAGCCUUGCAAACUGAAACUAGUCACCUAGUUAAUAAAUAGGUUCCAUAGAAAUCAUCAUGAUCCCUUGUGUAUGGACAAACUUUGUGCUAAGAAAAUCUAUCAGAUUGCUGCUGUCUGCCCCUCUUCAAUUGAAGAUGCUUCAGCUCAGAUAAAAAAAUCUUUGCAUCUGACUGCCCUCCAGACUCUUGAAAAACUAGUUUAUAGACGACUCCAGACAUUAGCCUUUUUUUUCUGUUUCCAUAGAAAUGCCUCUUAUUAAAGAUUUGUUUUCCUGAAUCCUAUAUAGAGACCUAGCUUUGAGAACCCAUCUGCACCACUAUCUCCUAAGAUGAGACUCAACUGUUUAAUUGGACUAGUCUAUUCUCAGAAAUAAAACUGACUUAAUUGAGUGUGGAGAAAAGUGCUUAGAUGACUUCUUUUCUAUGUACUCAUUCUAAUCUAUGUUCUUUCUUUGCAGGUCUCUCACCACUUGAUUACUACCCUGACUUCUCUAUCCAUCACUACAAACCCUACUUUAAUAUGUGGAACUUUCUGAAAAUAAGUUUUUAAACGGGUGACUGAAGGAAACCAGGCUAUUUCACUCAGAAAUAUGGCUAAACUAAAGAAACAGUCACCAAGUCUCUCUGGCCUCUCUGCUACCCUGCUGUUGUCUUUCAAUCCCCUGUCUCUCUCGAGCACAGGAUUAAUCUGUUCUGUGAAGUUCUCUUACUUUCCUAGAAACCAGAUAUGCUAAAGAGAAACAGAGUUGCCUUCUCUGAAAUUUCAUUAACCAGAAAAGAUGAAAACUCAUACUACA